UCUCCGUUGGUGAACCAGCGGAGGGAUCAUUACCGAGUGCAAACUCAUAACCCUUUGUGAACCUAUAUCUGUUGCUUCGGCGGCUCGCUCUCGGGCGAGCCCGCCGGUAAUAUCAGUAUCUCCGUUUGAACCCGACGAUACUUCUGAGUGUUCUUAGCGAACAGUUAAAACUUUUAACAACGGAUCUCUUGGCUCUA
rnacentral:misc_RNA from 1 species